rnacentral:rRNA from 1 species
CGGGGGGGGCAAGCGUUGUUCGGAAUUACUGGGCGUAAAGGGUCUGUAGGUGGCGCACUAAGCCACACGUGAAAUCCCUCAGCUUAACUGGGGAACUGCGUGUGGGACUGGAGCGCUUGAGGGUAGGAGAGGAACGCGGAAUUCCAGGUGUAGCGGUGAAAUGCGUAGAUAUCUGGAGGAACACCGGUGGCGAAGGCGGCGUUCUGGACUACUUCAGACACUGAGAGACGAAAGCCAGGGGAGCAAACGGGAUUAGAUACCCCGGUAGUCCUGGCCCUAAACGAUGAAUGCUUGGUGUGAUGGGUAUCGAUCCCUGUCGUGCCGAAGUUAACGCGUUAAGCAUUCCGCCUGGGGAGUACGGUCGCAAGGCUG